UUUGUGGAGUGGAGAACACAACGCCACCUCUCUUUCCUUCUCUUCUCUCUCUCUCUCUCUCUCUCUCUCUCUCUCUCUCUCUCUCUCUUGUUUUUAUUAUUAUUUUUAUUUAUAAUAAUUAAAUUUUAUCAUUUAUUGUUGGUGUUAUUAUUGUUGUUGUUGAUGUAGUUAAUGUUGUUGUUGUUGUUGGGGUUGGAAGAAACUUGAUCUCAUAACAGAAAGAAAGACACACAGAAAAAGAGUGAGUGUGUUUUAGUGAUACUGAUGAAUGAGUGUUGUGUGCAAAUGGGGUUCUAUAUUCUCAUACCUUCUUCAUAAUCAUGUAUAAUUACUCCAACCACACACAUAAUAAUAAUAUUAAUUAUAAUAUUAAUCAUACUCAUAAUAAUAAUCUUCAUCUUCAUAUAUGGAAUUCGAUGCUGCAAUUCCCAUGUCCCGUGAAGGCAUCCCUCAAGAUGCAAUGUGGCAAAUGAACUUGAGGUCGAGUGAAACGAUGGAACCUGGACCUUAUCCUGAGCAUCCAGGAGAACCAGAUUGUUCAUAUUACAUCAGAACAGGACUCUGUAGAUUCGGAGCAACAUGUCGAUUUAACCAUCCUCCUAACAGGAAACUGGCUAUUGCCGCUGCACGGAUGAAAGGAGAGUUCCCAGAAAGGAUAGGGCAGCCAGAAUGUCAGUAUUAUCUGAAGACAGGAACUUGCAAAUUCGGAGCCACAUGCAAGUUUCAUCAUCCUAGAGACAAGGCCGGGAUUGCUGGAAGAGUUGCUUUAAAUAUUUUAGGCUAUCCACUCCGCCCGAAUGAGGCGGAAUGUGCUUACUAUUUAAGAACCGGACAGUGCAAAUUUGGGAACACUUGCAAAUUCCAUCAUCCUCAACCAAGUAAUAUGGUGCUUUCAAUGCGCAGUUCUCCUGUUUAUCCCACCGUUCAUUCUCCAACAACGCCAGGUCAGCAGUCAUAUGCAGCAGGAAUUACAAAUUGGUCGAGUUCAUCCUACAUUGCUAGUCCACGCUGGCAAGGUCCGUCGAGUUAUGCAUCUUUGAUUCUACCUCAGGGAGUGGUUUCGGUACCUGGCUGGGGUGCAUACAAUGGUCAAAUGGGAUCAGACAGUACACAACAAUCAGUUGGAAAUGGUCAAACAUAUGCAUCCUCUCGUCAAGGCGAAUCGGCAAAUGCAGGAUCCCAAGGAGCAUAUUCUCAAUACCGUUCUGGAUCAGUUCCUGUAGGUUUCUAUGCAUUGCAGAGGGAGAACAUAUUUCCUGAAAGACCUGGCCAGCCUGAAUGCCAAUUCUACAUGAAGACCGGAGAUUGUAAGUUCGGUGCAGUCUGUCGUUUCCAUCAUCCGCGUGAGAGGCUGAUUCCUGCUCCUGAUUGUCUUUUGAGUCCAAUUGGCCUUCCUUUACGUCCGGGAGAGCCAUUGUGUGUCUUUUACUCGCGAUAUGGUAUAUGCAAAUUCGGCCCGAGUUGCAAGUUCGACCACCCCAUGGGAAUCUUUGCCUAUAAUAUGUCUACAUCACCCUCAGCUGAUGCUUCAGGACGACGAAUGUUGGGUUCUUCAUCAGGAACCGCGGCAUUAAAUUUAUCACCAGAAGGACUUGUUGAGUCAGGCUCUGCGAAGCCAAGGAGGCUUUCGUUGUCGGAGACUAGACAACUUCCUUCCAGUGAUGAUAACAUUGAUGAUGAGGGAUAAUGAUGUCUCUUGGAAAUGCAUCAUCUGCCUUUUACGAUUUUUUUUCAGGGGAGAAAAGGGUAAUCUGUAAAUCGAUUUUCCCGUUGCUGGAGAUGUACAGAGUUCAUGUUAAGCUGAUUCUGCCAACCUGCUAUUGACCGCGGUUACCGGAUUCAGUUUUUCUGGAAUUUCAUGCUGCCAGAUUGUAUAAAUUUCACAAAAUACUUGUCACAUUUGGUUCAAAACCUGAUGUGAACAUUUCUUCUGUCCUUAAAACUGGUUUAUCUAUUUAACAUUUUGCCAAUAUGUAAAAAAUGUUUCUGGAAAUCUAUAAUAAUCAGGAAUUUGGCUCCUGGCUGAAUCUUUGUUUCAUGCAGGUCUGAAAUUCAUUUCAAACGCUUUUACUUUCUCCGGGGAAAAAAAAAAAAGUUCGGUUUAUACCGAACUACUUUGUGUGUAUAGAAAAUCAUUUUCGCUGGCAGCCAAUAGUAGGAUGUUCAAUAUCCUUUUAUGAUUCAUAUUUUUUGUACAUUCCUAGCCAAGUUUAACAGAACUCCAAGCAAGUCGAAAGUCGAAAAAAGCUGCUGUUUCAGAACUUAACCUAAGCUGAAGGAUAAAGAAUCUAAACUGUGAAUUUUAGAGGCAGAAGAAGCAGAACAUGUGACUGUUGUUUUGGCCGAAGGUGCUCGCAGCUUGCUCUUUUGAUUCCGAAUGGUUAAAGGUGGGUAUCUUGGCAUUUUCUGGCUUAGAAUUCGGUUUACAAUUCACAUGCAACUAAAUCAUAGAUUCAUAGUUGGGAAUUUGAAUCUCUUUUCAUGGAGGCUUUGUAAAGCAGCAGCAAUUUCUGUGGCUAAAGAUGCAUGUUCUUUGAUAUUUUUCGCCACUGAGUCUGAUGCUUGUUAUGAAUAAGUUCAUGCAGGUACAUGGCCAAUUCUUUCUUUCUUUCUUUCUUUUUCUGAUUCUUAGAGAAUUUUGUGAUGAAAAUUGUCAUGUCACAAUUUGUGCUAAUCUUUCUUCUUCUUGGGAGUCUUGGAACAACGAUUGAGUUAUCACCAUAUAACCUCAAGAUCACGGUUUUAAGUCUUGGAAACAGUCACUGAUGUAAUUAUUAGUUUAGACUGCGUAUAUUACACCCUUUGGAUGCGGCUCUUCCCUGAAACCCUGGGUUAACACAGGAUACUUGUUCACCGGGCUGGCUUUUUUUUUUCUUCUUCCUUAAGAUAUUGGAGACAAACUUAAAAAAAUUGUCUCUAUCUUAGACUAAUUUUAAGAUAAUUUUUGUGGUUUCAAAACAGUGACAUAAGAUAAGAGACAUGUCCGUUUCUAAGCCAAUUUUUGUAGAUGUUGACAACUGUGUCCUAAAUAGGUAUUCUUC